rnacentral:rRNA from 1 species
GAUGAACGCUGGCGGCGUGCCUAAUACAUGCAAGUCGAGCGAACAGACGAGGAGCUUGCUCCUUUGACGUUAGCGGCGGACGGGUGAGUAACACGUAGGUAACCUACCUAUAAGACUGGGAUAACUUCGGGAAAACGGAGAUAAUACCGGAUAAUAUUUCGAACCGCAUGAUUCGAUGGUGAAUGAUGGCUUUGCUAUCACUAAUAGAUGGACCUGCGCCGUAUUAGCUAGUUGGUAAGGUAACGGCUUACCAAGGCAACGAUCCGUAGCCGACCUGAGAGGGUGAUCGGCCACACUGGAACUGAGACACGGUCCAGACUCCUACGGGAGGCAGCAGUAGGGAAUAUUCCGCAAUGGGCGAAAGCCUGACGGAGCAACGCCGCGUGAGUGAUGAAGGUCUUCGGAUCGUAAAACUCUGUUAUUAGGAAAGAACAACCGUGUAAGUAACUGUGCACGUCUUGACGGUACCUAAUCAGAAAGCCACGGCUAACUACGUG